GCUUAGAUGUUAAAAGCGAGCCAGCAAAGCUAACAUGUAUUGUUAAUAUUCUGGGUUCGAUUCCCAGUCUAAGCU
rnacentral:tRNA from 1 species